AUUGAACGUUUUUCAGUAGUUUAAGACAUGCAAAUCGUUGUUCCCAACGUCCUUUUUAUAAAUAAUAUUAUAAUGUCAAUGGGAUUAGGGGAUAAGGUGUAGAGGUGAGUAUGUUAAAUAAGAUACCCUAUAGUCUUCUUAGCUAGGAGAUAUAAAGUAAAGGAAAAUUUCUGCUAUAGGAUUCUAUUUAAUUUGAUUAGGUAGUUGAUAGGGUAACGGCCUACCAAGCCAACGAUCAAAAGUCAAGUUUGAAAGAACCUCUGGCCACAUUGGGAAUGAAAUCUCCCAAGUAGUAAUAACACUACCAGCAGUCGAGAAUAUUAGUCAAUGCUCGUAAGAGUGAACUAGCUAACUGAAAUCAUAGAAUUUCUUUAAAUUCAUGAUGUCGUAAGGGAAAAUAAUGAUAAUACCUUACUAUGAGUGUCGUCCAAAUCUGGUGCCAGAAGACUCGGUAAGACCAGAGACGCAAACGUUAAUCAUCAUAAACAGGCGUAAAGGGUUUGUAGGCAGCUUUUAUAAUAUUAAAAAAAUUUUUAAUAUAAUUGAAAGCUAGAAUCAAAAAGAGGUUAUAGUGUAUAACGCCUAGAGGAGGGCUGAUAUCCGUAGAUCCUAGGCAGAAUACUCAGGGCGAAUGCCACUCUCCACUAAUGAUUGACGCUGAGAAACGAAGGUUAGGGUAGGAAAUAGAGAUUAGAUACCCCGAAACUCCUUUCUGUAAACGAUGAAUGGUAGUCAUUAGUUUAAUUUAAAUAACUAGAGGCGAAGUUAACACAAUAACCAUUCCGCCUUGUGAGUACUACUGCAAAGUAGAAAACAAUAGUCGGGUCUCGAAGCAAACGGAGUGAAGCAUGUUAUUUAAUACGAUAAUCCGCGUAAAACCUUACCAGAACUUGCAUACAAACUAUAAAUUUUCUGUCAAAGGAAAAUAUUAGGAGUAUUUUAUCAUUUAAAUACUUAAGUACAGGUGUUGCAUGGCUGUCUUCAGUUCGUGUUGUUAAACAUUAGGUUAAUUCCACUAACGAACGAAAUCCCUGUUAUUAAUUUAUACUUAAUAACUAAUGAAUCUGAUAGAGAUUCAGCGGGGGCUAAGACAAGUCGUUAUGGCCCUCAUGUUCUGGGCUAUAGACGUGCCACAAAAACUUUUACAAAGUGAUGCAAUACUUUCCAAGAGAAGUGGAGCUAAUCAUUAAAAAAAGUGAUUUAUAUUAAAUAUAAGCCGGAUUGUCUCCUGUAAUUCGGAGGCAUGAAGAAGGAAUUCCGAGUAAUCGUUGAUAAGUAGCGCAACGGUGAAGCUAGUUUCGUGAUGAACUAACUGUCUGUCGCUGGGAAGAAGCUUUUAGUGGAGGAAACUGGAGUAAGAUAAUGCUUUUUUUCAUAGUAACUCAUUGCUUUAAGUAAAGUAUUUUUAGUAUUAUGAUAAAACUUAUUGGAUUUAGUGAAUUCAUUGAGGUAACAUCUCAAAAGUCAUAGCACGGUAG
rnacentral:rRNA from 1 species